rnacentral:rRNA from 2 species
AGCAUAUCAAUAAGCGGAGGAAAAGAAACCAACAGGGAUUGCCUUAGUAACGGCGAGUGAAGCGGCAACAGCUCAAAUUUGAAAGCUGGCUCCUUUGGAGUCCGCGUUGUAAUUUGUAGAGGAUGAUUCGGCAAGGGCUCCCGCCUAAGUCUCCUGGAACGGAGCGUCAUAGAGGGUGAGAAUCCCGUAUGCGGUGGGCUGCCUAAGCCAUGUGAAUCUCCUUCGACGAGUCGAGUUGUUUGGGAAUGCAGCUCUAAAUGGGAGGUAAAUUUCUUCUAAAGCUAAAUACCGGCCAGAGACCGAUAGCGCACAAGUAGAGUGAUCGAAAGAUGAAAAGCACUUUGGAAAGAGAGUUAAAAAGUACGUGAAAUUGUUGAAAGGGAAGCGCUUGCAGCCAGACUUGUCCGCAGUUGCUCAGCCGGUCUCCUGACCGGUGUACUCUUCUGCGGCCAGGCCAGCAUCAGUUCGGGCGGUCGGAUAAAGACCUCGGGAAUGUAGCUCCUCUCGGGGAGUGUUAUAGCCCGGGGUGGAAUGCGGCCAGCCUGGACUGAGGAUCUCGCUUCGGCUAGGAUGCUGGCGUAAUGGCUGUAAGCGGCCCGUCUUGAAACACGGACCAAGGAGUCUAACAUCUAUGCGAGUGUUUGGGUGUCAAACCCAUGCGCGUAAUGAAAGUGAACGGAGGUGGGAACCCUCACGGGUGCACCAUCGACCGAUCCUGAUGUCUUCGGAUGGAUUUGAGUAAGAGCAUAGCUGUUGGGACCCGAAAGAUGGUGAACUAUGCCUGAAUAGGGUGAAGCCAGAGGAAACUCUGGUGGAGGCUCGCAGCGGUUCUGACGUGCAAAUCGAUCGUCAAAUUUGGGUAUAGGGGCGAAAGACUAAUCGAACCAUC